CUCUUCACUUCGCUGAUUUUGGCGUUUUGCAUCGGAAUGAGGCUAUUGCUUCCCUGCAUGGAUUAACACAUACUAGGAGAUUUCAGCAGGACGAUGCACAUAUUUUCUGUAGGGAGUCCCAGAUAAUAGAUGAAGUCAUAAAAGCCUUGAACUUCAUGGAUUAUGUCUAUCAAAUAUUUGGUUUCACAUGAAGUGAAACUUUCAAUAAGGCCAGAGAAAAUCUUUAAAGAUCUUGAAAUGUGGGAGAAGGUUGAAAAUGAG